rnacentral:lncRNA from 1 species
AUUCCAUGGCUUUUCGUGUGGACAAAUCGGGAGGUGGUGUAAACUGGUUUUUGGUGAAAUUCGGCUCGGCCUCAUGCGAACCUAUCUAGGUCCGUCUCUGGAGUGGCCUGUCAUCGAUCGCGCCCUCCAUCGCUGAGCGACACAAGUGGAACCCCCCAGGACUGCAUUCUGCGAAACUACCCUGCUUUUCCCCCAGUUUUGGUCUGUGAACACAUUUGGGAAAUUCUUCUGAUCCUACCGCUACUCUCUUGAGGUACAGUAAAUUGUCUUUGACUUCCAUCACCUUUUGUAAUAUUACAAUUGCCAUCUACUGAGUUCCUAUGAUCUGCCUGGCAUUGUACUAAGUGCUUUAUAUUUUCUUGUUCAUUUUUUUAUGCCAACAUAAAUGAGUUUGACUCAAUUCUUAUUAUAACCUGCCAAAAUAAGUAUUCCUCUUCCUUUUUACAGAGAGAGAAACAAGGGAAAAAAAAGUUAAUUGCCUGAGGAUAUACUGCUAGUGUUGCGGGACAAAUAGAGACGGGAGAGGCCAAACAGAAUUCAGGACAACCCUUUAUUAUUAAGGUGAUCACUGGCUCAGUCGGACUGGGGUCCAGAAAGUCUGAGCCCGGAACAAAGGGAUCAAUCACCUUUUAAGCAAUUUGUGGCGGGAGUUUGGUGCUACAGGAAGCCUACUUGCAGAAGCAAGAACAAAGGCAGUUAAUUAUUCUUUUACAUUUGUUACACCACAUGUCUUACAUCCUUGGGAAUGCAUGCUUUUGUAGCAAUUGCUUAUCAACCUUGUGACUUUACAGCGCGCUAGGGAGGGAAGCAGGAACUCGUGGUGCCUCAAGGAACGUGAAACGGUGGAACACAGAUAAGCCUCUCCGUGCGUAGAGGAGAAAUAAGCGGUUAAUAUUCUCUCUUAACCCAGGCCUCCGGAGGGUGGGGGGCUAUAUUUCAUUCUACCUCUAAGGAAAAGAAUAAACUUCUUGACUAAUAUACUUAUAAAAUUCAUUAAUUCCCCCUUCACUAGUAAAUAAUAAAUACCUGACUUAGGAUUCCAAAAUAGGUCUUGAAUUUUUCUGCAGGAGCUCCUCAAAGUCUCUGAAUUCCCACAACCUUUUAUUAGAUCACUUAUCCCAUUGUAUUAUAAUUAUCUGUUUAACAAUUUUUCCUCACCCCUAAAGGACCCUGAGCUUCUGGAAGGUAGGGACUGUAUCUUAAAAUCUUGGCAUUUCUGAUGUCUAGAAUAUUUCAUUUAAGAGAAGGGCUUAGUAACUGUUGUGUGGGUGGGUUGAUGAGUUAACUGUCAGGCAGGUGAACUAAUAGGCUGAAGAUAAAGUUUUUCACUGUUGGAAGUGAAUUUGGGAUUAGUCAUCCUAAUCCCCUCACUUUUAGAGAUGGGGCAACUGAGUCAUGCGCGGUGGCUCACGCCUGUAAUUCUAGCACUUUGGGAGGCCAAGGUGAGCGGAUCACCUGAAGUCAGGGAUUUGAGACCAGCCUGGCCAACAUGGCGAAACCCCAUCUCUACUAAAAAUACAAAAAUUAGCCAGGCAUGGUAGCAGGAGCCUGUAAUCCCAGCUGUUCGGGAGGCUGAGGCAGGAGAAUCACUUGAACCUGGGAGGCGGAGGUUGCAGUGAGUUGAGAUCGCGCAAUUGCGCUCCAGCCUGGGCGACAAGAGCAAAACUCCACCUCAAAGAAAAAACAAAACAAGACAUGGGGCAGCUGAGGCCUUUUGUAUACCAGGCAUUUAUCGAGUUAUUCAUGUGGGCCAGUUUCUGUGAUAAAUGAUUUGCAAAUAAUACCCAACUUAAUCUGUAUUGUUAUUUUUAUUUUUACAGAUGAAGAAACAGCUCAGAUUUGACCAAGAUCACACAAGUAGGAGUUGAGGAAUUGGAACCCACUAUGACUGACUCCAAAUUAAUAUAGUGUUUAUAGCCACUUACAUAAUAAUGGUAAAGGUUUUAUUUUUUUCACUAUACAAUAUGUAGUAGAUAAAUUUACUGAGGAAAUGAGACAGCACGUGACAAAUCCUUAAAGGAUACACACAUGACAGGAAGGAUUAGAAGAGGAAACAGAAACAGGUAACAGAGAAGCAGAAAAAGUAAAAUCUCCCAAAAUAAAAAUAGAAGGAAUUAAAAAUAAAAGCAGACUCCGGGUGCAGUGGCUCAUGCCCAGCACUUUGGGAGGCCGAGGCAGGUGAAUCACUUGAGGUCAGGAGUUUGAGACCAGCCUCGCCAACAUGAUGAAACCCUGUUUCUACUAGAAAUAAAAAAAUUAGCCAGGUGUAGUGGCGUGCACCUGUAAUUCUGGUUACUUGGGAAGCUAAGGCAGAAGAAUCACUUGAACCCGAGAGGCAGAGGUUGCAGUGAGCCAAGAUCAUGCCAUUGCACUCCAGCCUGGGUGACAGAGCAAGAUUAUAAAGUCUUCUCAAUAAAAUCGUCUCAAAAAUAAUAAAAAUAAAAGCAGAAGUUAAUGAAAUAGCAAAUAAAAUUGAUGAUAGUAAUUAGCUGGUGUUUGAAAAGAACAAUAAAUA